UACGGAGGGUGCAAGCGUUUGGUCCGGAUUUAUUGGGUUUAAAGGGUGCGUAGGCGGCUAAUUAAGUCAGCGGUUGAAAUUCCACAAGCUCAACUGUGGAAACCGUGCCGAUUGAUAUCUGGUUGGCUUGAGUACAGAUGAGGGUAGGCGGGAAUUGACAGUGUAGCGGUGAAAUGCUUAGAUAUUGUCAAGAACACCUAUUGCGAAGGCAGCUUA
rnacentral:rRNA from 1 species